rnacentral:rRNA from 1 species
UAAGACCUCGCGUUAUUGGAGCGGCCGAUAUCUGAUUAGCUAGUUGGUGGGGUAAGAGCCUACCAAGGCGACGAUCAGUAGCUGGUCUGAGAGGACGACCAGCCACACUGGGACUGAGACACGGCCCAGACUCCUACGGGAGGCAGCAGUGGGGAAUUCUGGACAAUGGGCGAAAGCCUGAUCCAGCCAUGCCGCGUGAGUGAAGAAGGCCUUCGGGUUGUAAAGCUCUUUCGCAAGGAAAGAAAUCCUAUCCACUAAUACUGGGUGGGGAUGACGGUACCUUGAUAAGAAGCACCGGCUAACUACGUGCCAGCAGCCGCGGUAAUACGUAGGGUGCGAGCGUUAAUCGGAAUUACUGGGCGUAAAGCGAGCGCAGGCGGUUUUGUAAGUCAGAUGUGAAAUCCCCGGGCUCAACCUGGGAACU